UUUAUGGAGAGUUUGAUCCUGGCUCAGGAUGAACGCUGGCGGCGUGCCUAAUACAUGCAAGUCGAGCGAACAGAUAAGGAGCUUGCUCCUUUGACGUUAGCGGCGGACGGGUGAGUAACACGUGGGUAACCUACCUAUAAGACUGGAAUAACUCCGGGAAACCGGGGCUAAUGCCGGAUAACAUGUUGAACCGCAUGGUUCUACAGUGAAAGACGGUCUUGCUGUCACUUAUAGAUGGACCCGCGCCGUAUUAGCUAGUUGGUGGGGUAACGGCCUACCAAGGCGACGAUACGUAGCCGACCUGAGAGGGUGAUCGGCCACACUGGAACUGAGACACGGUCCAGACUCCUACGGGAGGCAGCAGUAGGGAAUCUUCCGCAAUGGGCGAAAGCCUGACGGAGCAACGCCGCGUGAGUGAUGAAGGUCUUCGGAU
rnacentral:rRNA from 1 species